rnacentral:rRNA from 1 species
GGAUAAGGAAAGUAAAGAAGGGCGCAUGGCGGAUGCCUUGGCUCUCGGAGGCGAUGAAGGACGUGAUAAGCUGCGAUAAGCUUUGGGGAGGUGCAAAUGACCUUUGAUCCAGAGAUUUCCGAAUGGGACAACCCAAUAUCUUGAAGAGGUAUUAUCCAACGUUGUUGGAGGCUAACGCAGGGAACUGAAACAUCUUAGUACCUGCAGGAAAAGAAAAUAAACAAUGAUUCCCCCAGUAGUGGCGAGCGAACGGGGAACAGCCCAAACCAUCCAUGUUACGGCAUGUGUGGGGUUGUAGGACUACGUCGUUGCAUGAAGACAUCAGAGAAGAACUUUCUGGAAAGAAAGACCAUAGAGCAUGACAGUUGCGUAUUCGAAUGUUGUCGAAGCAUAGUAGUAUCCUGAGUAGCGCGGAGCACGAGGAAUUCUGCGUGAAUCUGCCGGGACCAUCCGGUAAGGCUAAAUACUCCCGAGAGACCGAUAGCGAACCAGUACCGUGAGGGAAAGGUGAAAAGCACUUCGAACAGAAGAGUGAAAUAGUUCCUGAAACCGUGCGCCUACAAGCGGUCGGAGCUCGUUAAUGAGUGACGGCGUGCCUUUUGCAUAAUGAACCUACGAGUUGCCUUUGCCGGCAAGGUUAAGUGUGACGACACACGUAUCCGAAGCGAAAGCGAGUCUGAACAGGGCGUAUAGUCGGCAGUGGCAGACGCGAAACCAAGUGAUCUACCCUUGGCCAGGUUGAAGGCUGGGUAACACCAGCUGGAGGACCGCACCAAUAAGCGUUGAAAAGCUUCUGGAUGAGCUGAGGGUAGGGGUGAAAGGCUAAUCAAACUUGGAGAUAGCUCGUACUCCCCGAAAUGCAUUUAGGUGCAGCCUUGCGGGUUACUGAUGUGAGGUAGAGCGACUGAUAAGAUGCGAGGGCUUCACCGCCUAUCAAGUCUUGACAAACUCCGAAUGCGCAUCAGUUCUACCGCAGGAGUGAGGGCAUGGGUGCUAAGGUCCGUGCCCGAGAGGAGAAGAAUCCGGACCACCUGCUAAGGUCCCGAAAUGACAGCUAAGUUAAACUAACGAAGUCUGACUGCUAAGACAGCUAGGAUGUUGGCUUGGAAGCAGCCAUUCAUUUAAAGAGUGCGUAACAGCUCACUAGUCGAGGAGUCGGGCGUGGAUAAUAAUCGGGUAUUAAGUUGUCUACCGAAGCAGUGGGAUCAUUAAUAUGAUCGGUAGGGGAGCAUUCCAGUCGGCGUCGAAGGCGUACCGUGAGGUAUUCUGGAGCGUCUGGAAAAGCAAAUGUAGGUAUAAGUAACGAUAAAGGGGGCGGGAAACCCCCUCGCCGAAAGACUAAGGUUUCCUGAUCAACGCUAAUCGGAUCAGGGUCAGUCGGGUCCUAAGGCUCAGCCGAACGGCGAUGCCGAUGGCAGAAACGGUUAAUAUUCCGUUACUACCUUCAGGAGUGACGUGGAGACGCAGUAGUGACAGUGCCGCCAUCUGACGGAAUAGAUGGUUGAAGGGUGUAGGAGUCGAUCAUGGCAGGCAAAUCCACCAUGAGAUCCGAACCUGACAGUAUGCCGCGUCCUUCGGGACAAGGCAAUAGUGCGCGUAAGCAUGCUGCCGAGAAAAUCCGCUAAACUUAAUCCUGCAGGUACCCGUACCGCAAACGGACACACGUAGUCGGGAUGAAUAUUCUAAGGCGCUUGAGUGAUUCACGGUUAAGGAACUAGGCAAACUGACCCUGUAACUUCGGGAUAAAGGGUCCCUACCCUUUUAUGGGAGGGCGCAGAGAAUCGGUCCAGGCAACUGUUUAACAAAAACACAGGGCUGUGCCAAAUCGAAAGAUCCAGUAUACAGCCUGACACCUGCCCGGUGCUGGAAGGUUAAGAGGAGAUGUCAUCGAUAAGAGAAGCGUUGAAUUGAAGCCCCAGUAAACGGCGGCCGUAACUAUAACGGUCCUAAGGUAGCGAAAUUCCUUGUCGGGUAAGUUCCGACCUGCACGAAUGGUGUAAUGAUCUGGACGCUGUCUCAACCGUGAGCUCAGUGAAAUUGUAGUAUCGGUGAAGAUGCCGAUUACCCGCGAUGGGACGAAAAGACCCCGUGAACCUUUACUAUAGCUUAUCAUUGAAUCUGGGCACGUGAUGUGUAGGAUAGGUCGGAGGCUUUGAAGCAGGUACGCCAGUAUUUGUGGAGCCGCUGUUGAAAUACGACCCUUUAUUUGUUUGGAUUCUAACCCGUGGA